AGUCAAGUAAUUAAGUGCAUGUGGUGGAUGCCUUGGCAGUCAGAGGCGAUGAAAGACGUGAUAGCCUGCGAAAAGCUCCGGGGAGGCGGCAAAUAUCCUUUGAUCCGGAGAUGUCUGAAUGGGGGAACCCACCUACUUUAAGGUAGGUAUUGCAACAUGAAUACAUAGUGUUGCAAGGCGAACGAGGGGAAGUGAAACAUCUCAGUACCCUUAGGAAAAGAAAUCAAUUGAGAUUCCCUCAGUAGCGGCGAGCGAACGGGGAUCAGCCCAUUAAGUUAUGUGUGUUUUAGUGGAACGCUCUGGGAAGUGCGAACGUAGAGGGUGAUAUUCCCGUACACGAAAGGGCACACAUAAUGAUGACGAGUAGGGCGAGGCACGUGAAACCUUGUCUGAAUAUGGGGGGACCAUCCUCCAAGGCUAAAUACUCCUGACUGACCGAUAGUGAACCAGUACCGUGAGGGAAAGGCGAAAAGAACCCCUGUGAGGGGAGUGAAAUAGAUCCUGAAACCGCAUGCAUACAAGCAGUGGGAGCACCUUCGUGGUGUGACUGCGUACCUUUUGUAUAAUGGGUCAGCGACUUAUAUUCAGUAGCAAGGUUAACCGUAUAGGGGAGCCGUAGAGAAAUCGAGUCUUAAUAGGGCGUUUAGUUGCUGGGUAUAGACCCGAAACCAGGCGAUCUAUCCAUGAGCAGGUUGAAGGUUGGGUAACACUAACUGGAGGACCGAACCCACUGUCGUUGAAAAGCCAGGGGAUGACUUGUGGAUAGGGGUGAAAGGCUAAUCAAGCCUGGUGAUAGCUGGUUCUCCCCGAAAGCUAUUUAGGUAGCGCCUCGGACGAAUACCAUAGGGGGUAGAGCACUGUUUCGGCUAGGGGGUCAUCCCGACUUACCAAACCGAUGCAAACUCCGAAUACCUAUGAGUACUAUCCGGGAGACAGACUGCGGGUGCUAACGUCCGUAGUCAAGAGGAAAACAAUCCAGACCGCCAGCUAAGGCCCCAAAAUCAUAGUUAAGUGGGAAACGAUGUGGGAAGGCAUAGACAGCUAGGAGGUUGGCUUAGAAGCAGCCACCCUUUAAAGAAAGCGUAAUAGCUCACUAGUCGAGUCGGCCUGCGCGGAAGAUGUAACGGGGCUAAAACUAUGUGCCGAAGCUGCGGAUUUGACAUUAGUCAAGUGGUAGGGGAGCGU
rnacentral:rRNA from 1 species